GAAAAUUUUAAAUGAUGAACUAUGUCUUUUUGUAGUCUUUUUGUAACGAUGAAAUGGUUAUAAUUAAAAUAUGACAUAAAUUUUUUAAAAAAUAAAUUAAUAAAAAGGAUAAAUAUAAAAUUAGUACUCGAAUUUAUCCACUUCUCCCAAAUUGAUAUUUAUGAUUUUUUUUUGUCCUCAAUUGAUACUCAAAUUUUUUUUCCUUCAACUAUAUUGAUACCUAAGCCUAACGUCAUUAGUUUUUUGCUGAUGUGGCAGCGUUCACCAAUCAUGCAUCGUCACGUGGUAUCCUCUUGUACCUCUUUUUUAUUUUUUUUUUCUUUCUAUCUUUCUUCCUUUUUUCUUUUUCCUGCUCUUCUUCUUCACUCUUCUUCAUCUCCCAAUUUAAGGGCCAACUGCAACAAAGAACCAACGCCAGAUUCUUAGGUUUCGAUUUCCUUUUAAGAGAAAAGAUUAAUUUUCGGUAUUUCAAGUUCUAGGUUUUCAACAUUUUACUUUGAAUCAAUGUUUUUUUUUUUUUGUAAAAAAAUCCCCUCCCAAGUCUUUUCCUUUUAACUGUUUUCUUCAAAUGAGUGUUAAAUUAUGCUUUAGCCAAUAACCAUAAACACACUGGUAGUAAACGUUGCUCCUUACAGUCGACGCAACACAAUUCGUCGUCAAUAUGGGUUUUGUUUAUUUCCACCGUCGGCAUUGCUUCCAUCGUCGCUUUCAACACCAGCAAUUGCUCGUUCCGCUUGGCGUUCUAAAUCCCCAUUUGCAGUAAUUGAUCAAUUAGCCGCUCAAAAUCAAAACCCAAGCAAUAGGCCUCAUCUAAUUCCCAGAACCCAGAACCGUAGCUUGUGAGGAAGUGGGAGAGGAAGAGGCCUCUUUCUACCUACUUUUCCAGGUUUUUAAGGAAUUCUUCCCUAAAAAAGUGACAAUAUGGCUUCAACCUCAUCUGGUUCCCAAGCCAAAUACUCUCUCACUCAAAUCCCAUAGAUCCAACAGAGUCAAAAUAAAUAAAUAAAACUAAAGAACACAAAACCAGAAUAAUCUCAUUAGAAAUCAAACGAAGUUGAAACAACUGAAAAAAAGACAAAAAUAAAAAUAAAAAAGAGAAGCAAAUAAAAAAAACGAUGCCUCACCCAUUGUCAAUUGAAGAAGAUUUUGUUGGAAAUGUGUCUUCUUUGACAAGCGCCUUAUGGUGGAAGAAGAUGUUCAAUCAUAGGUUUUGGGUUAGAAAUUCAAUGGGUUUGGGAGAGUUCCUUGGAAAUCUAGUCUAAUCAAAAGGAAAAAAGGGCAGGAGACGAUCAUUUUAGAAGGGAGCAGUAAGCCGAUAAGUCAAACGGUGUCGGUAGAACAAAGAUACGGGUAGGAGAUUAGAGGUUGAUCUGUCCCAAAUUGGUAGGAAAAAGAAGAAUUUAAUGGAAGGAAAGAGAAAAGAAGAGUGAAGAAGAAAGAUGAAGAAGACAAGGAUAGGAAAAAGAAAAAAGAACAGGAAGAAAAAAAAAUGAGGAAAAUGAAAAAGAAAAAGAAUAAAGGUACAAGAGGAUACCACGUGAUGGUGCGUGAUUGACCAGUGCUAUCACGUUAGUAAAAAUUUAACGGCAUUAGGCUCAGGUACCAAUAUGUGGACGGACAAAAAAUUCAGAUACUAAUCUGGGAUAAAAAAUCUACCAUAAGGUCAAUAUAAGAGAAGUGAACAAGUUCAGGUACUAAUUUUAUAUUUAACCCUUAACAAAAC
rnacentral:lncRNA from 1 species